GGGGCUGGUGCCCGCUCUGCUCUAACCGAGGUGGUGCUGCUGCCACGGGGAAAAAUAAUAAUAAUCAUAAUAAUGGUAAUAAUAAUAAUGAUGAUGAUGAUGAUGUGAAAGCCGAGCGGUGCUGCUCCUUUCUGCUUGCGGCUGCGUUUGGUGUCGCCACAGAGAUGCACCGGCCUGGCGUGUUGUGGCUUCUGAGGAAUCUGCUCCUGAUGCAGCACUAUUUUUAGUGAGUAACCUCGCCCCGCAGAGCUGGGGUUACCCGGCUGGAAGGAGGCACGCGUGUCGCUCCUGACGCUCACCUCUGUGCGAGCGGAGAUCGAGGAACUUGACGCGUCCCGGUGCAGCUCGCUGUUGCGCAGCGACAACGCAGCAGUGUGUUUUAUACAGCAUUGGACAAGAGAAGACUACUUAAACUCAAUGCAGAAUGCAGAACUGAUAAAUGCAUCCAGGACAAAUGUUGAGGGCCUACAGUCACUGGCUCAAGUUUUGUGAUGUGCUGUUUGUAACUGGACAGGCCUGGAAGUGGCUUAGUACCUUCCACUCCUAUUUUAAGUCAGAAGCAACAGUAAGCUGA
rnacentral:lncRNA from 1 species